rnacentral:rRNA from 1 species
UACGGGGGGGGCAAGCGUUGUUCGGAAUUACUGGGCGUAAAGGGCUCGUAGGCGGCCAACUAAGUCGGAUGUGAAAUCCCCGGGCUCAACCUGGGAACUGCGUUUGUGACUGUAUGACUAGAGUACGGUAGAGAGGGGUGGAAUUCCUGGUGUAGCAGUGAAAUGCGUAGAUAUCAGGAGGAACAUCGAUGGCGAAGGCAGCCCCUUGGACCUGUACUGACGCUCAUGCACGAAAGCGUGGGGAGCAAACAGG